UAGCAGCGCCAGGCCAGGCCAGGCCAGGCCAGCAGAGCCGAUACGAUACGAUAAACCAAAAGCAUACAAAACCAAAUGAAACCAAAAACUGAACUGCGCUAUGUUGAGAACGACUAGAAAUCGGAAUUCGUGUUUUUCUCACCAAGCAAGGUUGCUCAGAUACAUGUUUAGUUCAGUUGAAUUUUUGGUGUCGUCUUUGGUGGAGCGUUCGUUUUUAAUAUAAAUCUACUUUUAUAAAUUACACCUUGCGAAGUGAAUGCAAAAAUAAAACUUCAAGCAAAUUGAAGGAAACGAAGCUACGAAGAGAGUAUAAUACCCUAUAUGAGUUAAAAAAGGAAGUGAAACACUUGUUUUUGUGUUAUUUCCGUUGCAUUAUCUGAGAAUGUGAAGUGUGUCUAGUGAAUUUUUGUUUUUGAAUAGAAAAGUUUGAAAAUAGUUAAGAAAAAAAAAUCACUUAAACUCCUGGUCCAGCAAUAACAGAAGCUGCAAAAACAACAAAUACAACAACUUUAACGCCUUCGUCUUCAUCUCUUUUAUCUUUUAAAAAGUCAGUCAGUCCGGACUCCGGCUGAUGGCUGAUGGCUGCUGGUUUUGGUUGCAUGUGAUGUGGAUUUUGUAUGCGAUUCUGUAUGAUGGUUCACUCACUCACUGUCACUAUUCUUCACCGUUAAAACACACAACAGACCGUAUUUCUAUAUAAUGUUGCUGAUGCUGGAGCAAUAAACAUAGUAAUUGUCAUCUGAAGUAAUGGAAACAGUUUUAUACAAAAACAGCAAGCAACGACAUCAAAAAGAUUCAUCCAAAUGAAAUCAGUUGAAUCUGCAAUGCAAUCAGAGUGAAAUACAACAGAAAAACACAUCCAUUGGACAUCAAAUAAAGAAGGAAACAGUUCUUCUCCUCGUCACUUCGUCAGACAACCGACAACGUACAUAACGACGACGACAGUAAUCUGUCUUUUUCUUUUAAAUUGAAUUUAUACUCGGAAGAGUUUCAAUCAUCCACCCAAGCCCAAGCCCAAUCGCAAUUCCAAAACCCAAACCAAAGCCAAGAGUCGCUCGUGUCGUGGCAUCGCCGUCGUCGGUCGUUGUUUCUUUCAAUCUUUUCAAUUUACACCACCUCGGUUUCAGGUCUCACGGUAGAUUACCUCUUCCUAUUGUAGGUAGUUUCGAAUGAUCUUGGAUGAUGAUAAUGAUAAUGAUGAUGAAGAAUGACUAAUAGACGUGUAAUUGAAGUUUACUGGAAAUCUAUCCGCCGCCAUUGAAAUGAAACAAACAUCAAACCAAAUUAUGCGACAAAUUGAAUCAAAUUCAUUCAGAGGAACCGACAUCGAAGGAGCCAUUUCUAUUUCUACUGACGAAGGCGAUAGUAUCAUCCACGUCGUUGACAUAAUGACAAAUUUCAUUUUAAAUUACCGUUGUUGGUGGUGGAUUUUAUAAGCGGACAUUUUGUGUCAAAAUGAAUGGCCCCUCAAAAGAGUCACGACAACAACGACAUCGCCAUUCUUUUCGUAAGAUAGCUCAAGCUCAAAUAAACAAGGAUUCAAAUAAUAAUCUUUUAGUAGUAGGAGUUGUUGGCUCCUGCUAUUACUCUGGCUCCUUUUUUCAAAGAAAUAAAAACAGAAAUCGUAAAAGAAAUAGAAACAAAAAUAAAAACAAAUUCAAAACGAAACAAUUUACCAUCAGCAUUUGACAAUCAGAUAGAGGGCAGGAUAUUCCUUUAUAUUCUUUUACAUUCAAACAUAGAGAAG